rnacentral:rRNA from 1 species
GACAGAGGUGCCAAGCGUUAGGCGGAAUCACUGGGCUUAAAGCGUGUGUAGGCGGAUCGUUAAGUACCUUGUGAAAUCCCACGGCUCAACCGUGGAACUGCUGGGUAUACUGGCGAUCUUGAGCCACCUAGGGGCGAGCGGAACAAGCGGUGGAGCGGUGAAAUGCGUAGAUAUCGCUUGGAACGCCAAGUGUGAAAACAGCUCGCUGGGGGGUGUGCUGACGCUGAGACACGAAAGCCAGGGGAGCGAACGGG